GAUCCGGGACGACCUGGAUCUGCCUUUUCAGUACAGGGACGGCCCUA
rnacentral:ncRNA from 1 species